rnacentral:rRNA from 1 species
AUUGAACGCUGGCGGCAUGCUUUACACAUGCAAGUCGAACGGCAGCGCGGGCUUCGGCCUGGCGGCGAGUGGCGAACGGGUGAGUAAUACAUCGGAACGUGCCCAGUAGUGGGGGAUAGCUCGGCGAAAGCCGGAUUAAUACCGCAUACGACCUGAGGGUGAAAGCGGGGGAUCUUCGGACCUCGCGCUAUUGGAGCGGCCGAUGGCAGAUUAGCUAGUUGGUGGGGUAAAGGCCUACCAAGGCGACGAUCUGUAGCUGGUCUGAGAGGACGACCAGCCACACCGGGACUGAGACACGGCCCAGACUCCUACGGGAGGCAGCAGUGGGGAAUCUUGGACAAUGGGCGAAAGCCUGAUCCAGCGAUGCCGCGUGUGUGAUGAAGGCCUUCGGGUUGUAAAGCACUUUUGGCGGGAACGAAAAGGACUGUGCCAAUACCACGGUUCGAUGACGGUACCCGCAGAAUAAGCACCGGCUAACUACGUG